AACGCUAGCUACAGGCUUAACACAUGCAAGUCGAGGGGCAUCAUGAUGAGUAGCAACUCAUUGAUGGCGACCGGCGCACGGGUGAGUAACGCGUAUGCNACCUGCCCAUCAGAGGGGGAUAACCCGGCGAAAGUCGGACUAAUACCCCAUAAAACAGGGGUUCCGCAUGGGACUAUUUGUUAAAGAUUCAUCGCUGAUGGAUGGGCAUGCGUUCUAUUAGGCAGUUGGCGGGGUAACGGCCCACCAAACCGACGAUAGAUAGGGGUUCUGAGAGGAAGGUCCCCCACAUUGGUACUGAGACACGGACCAAACUCCUACGGGAGGCAGCAGUGAGGAAUAUUGGUCAAUGGACGCGAGUCUGAACCAGCCAAGUCGCGUGAAGGAAGAAGGAUCUAUGGUUUGUAAACUUCUUUUAUAGGGGAAUAAAGUGCGGGACGAGUCCUGUUUUGUAUGUACCCUAUGAAUAAGCAUCGGCUAACUCCGUGCCAGCAGCCGCGGUAAUACGGAGGAUGCGAGCGUUAUCCGGAUUUAUUGGGUUUAAAGGGUGCGUAGGUGGCUGAUUAAGUCAGCGGUGAAAGUUUGUGGCUCAACCAUAAAAUUGCCGUUGAAACUGGUUAGCUUGAGUGUGUUUGAGGUAGGCGGAAUGCGUGGUGUAGCGGUGAAAUGCAUAGAUAUCACGAAGAACUCCGAUUG
rnacentral:rRNA from 1 species